rnacentral:sRNA from 1 species
CCAGUCUGGGCAACAAGAGUGAAACUCCGUCUCAAAAAAAAAAAAAGGAAUGGAUGCUAUCCAUCACCUCAUCUCGUGCGGCCCUUUCCUGGCUGCCUUACAGGAAGAGUGAAUUUGGGGCAGCACGUUGUCUUUAUCCUUUCCUCUUUCUUCUUUUCACCAGUCCUCCAGCGGUUGUGGGGCACCCAGGAUGUAUCCCAAGACAUCCAGGAGAUGAAAGAUGAGAGUGCAAGGAUGUCACAAGAAAAGCAAGUCACCGUGCUGGAGCUCUUUAGAGUGUCCAGCUACCGACAGCCCAUCAUCAUUUCCAUUGUGCUGCAGCUCUCUCAGCAGCUCUCUGGGAUCAAUGCUGUGUUCUAUUACUCAACAGGAAUCUUCAAGGAUGCAGGUGUUCAAGAGCCCAUCUAUGCCACCAUCGGCGCGGGUGUGGUUAAUACUAUCUUCACUGUAGUUUCUGUAAGUUGGAUGGUUUGGUAAUUUUGGGGGGAGAAAAGAAUCCUUGCUACAGAUGUUCAAAUAUGGAUUGCAUGACCCCACCAUCAUUUAGUUACCUUUUUGUUGUUUAAUUUUCCUUUGGGAAAAAGAGAUACAUUUAAUGUUGGAUGUAGUCUUCACUCCUCAAGCAAAUAUGGGAUGGAUGGGAAAGGAGGGAGUAUAGAAGGGACUAUAUAGUAUGCUUUGAACUUGGAAUUGGAGGAGAGGUGUUUGGAAAAACUCUCAAACUCUGUUAUUCCACUAUUUUUACACUAAAACAACAAUAAUCAACAGAAGAUAUCUGUGAUCCCCAGAAUAUGUGAGAAUUCUUUCCCCAUGAGGUGGGCAAUCAGUUCUGUAGUGGACACCAUCUAGGUGUCCUGCGAUUUAAUUAUGACACUGUCUACCUGGAGAUAGCAUCAGAUCUCACAGGUUGGUGGCCCAGUUCCCAAGACUGCCCCCCACU